GGCCCGUUAGUCAAGCGGUUAAGACACCGCCCUUUCACGGCGGUAACACGGGUUCGAAUCCCGUACGGGUCA
rnacentral:tRNA from 1 species